AGCGCUGGGCAGUCUCGCUCGUUUUACCAAAUGCGAGGAGCGAUGUCGGCGGAACCGAAGGAUCUGCGCGAAAGCUUCACCUUUCUGUCGAUCUCCUCGUCGCAUCUGAUCUUCAUGCGAAUGUUUUCGUAUCUGCCGCUGAAGGGCAAAAGUUUUUCUCACCCGUUAAGCCGAUUGCUUCAGCUCUGGAACCACUUCGCCGUCUUCGGCUUCAACGCGAUGUGGCAGGGAUACGGGAUUCGCAUGAUACAACGUGGUGACGUGGAGGUGGACUUUUUGUGUGAGGAUAUAAUCACAAUCGGUUUCACCAUACGCUACAUCGUGAUGCGCAUAAAGCGCGAGCAACUCUGUCGCCUCGUCGAGUCCUGCGAAAAGCUCUGGGACCUUCUCGAGGACGGCGAGGCCGUGUUCGUGCGUAAGUUCGAGCGUAAAGGUUACUACUUCAGGACCUUCAUUCUGUGCAACGCGUUGUUGAUGGCCGGGUCGUACAGCAUAGCGGCGCCUUUCGUCAGGCUGCCGCCCUUAGAAGCCAACGGCACCGAGAGGAAGAUCCUACCGUUCAGGUUUUUCAUGGACGUUCAGGAGGAACCGGCGUACAGUAUAGUGUUUGUGUUGCAGUCCAUCGCCCUUCAGUUUCUUGACUUUAUGAUGGUCAUGACAGAGACGAUUUCGCUCUACCUGAUCAUGAUGGCUUGUGGGUAUCUGCGCUCGGUUAGAAACCGAUUGUUGAAUCUCAAAGGAAGCGAUAGUGAUCCGAGUGAGAAGGGCGAAGCUGCGCUCAAGGCCGUUGUCGGAUGUGCGCACUUCCAUCAGCAGAUCAUGAUAUACUGCGAGGACUUAAGCAAGAUGACGGAGACGCUUUUUCUCAUCAGCUGCUUCUGUCCCAUCUACAACGUGUCCGUCACGUGUCUCGUGAUUCUCAACACCGAAGAAGACAACUUGAAGUUCGUACCACUUAUGCUCUACAAUUUCUUCCAAUUCUUCCUCUGCCAGUGGGCCCCCGAGCACCUAACCGUAGAAAAGCCGCUUACUUUGCGAGCUUGCAACCGCAAGCGCCGAGUCACCGGGAGAAGAUCAAUCGAAUACUGUACUACAUGAUGAUGAGGGCUCAGAAGCCGGUGCAAUUGACAGCUGGUGGGUUCGCUCCUUUGUCCAUCAAAACAUUUGGUGCGAUGACAAAGAAUGCAUUCUCCUUCUUCAUGGUCUUGCGAAACUUUAAGAAUUGAGAAGACGUGUUCU